rnacentral:rRNA from 1 species
AGUGAACGCUGGCGGUAGGCCUAACACAUGCAAGUCGAACGGCAGCACAGUAAGAGCUUGCUCUUACGGGUGGCGAGUGGCGGACGGGUGAGGAAUACAUCGGAAUCUACUUUUUCGUGGGGGAUAACGUAGGGAAACUUACGCUAAUACCGCAUACGCCCUACGGGUGAAAGCAGGGGAUCUUCGGACCUUGCGCGAUUGAAUGAGCCGAUGUCGGAUUAGCUAGUUGGCGGGGUAAAGGCCCACCAAGGCGACGAUCCGUAGCUGGUCUGAGAGGAUGAUCAGCCACACUGGAACUGAGACACGGUCCAGACUCCUACGGGAGGCAGCAGUGGGGAAUAUUGGACAAUGGGCGCAAGCCUGAUCCAGCCAUACCGCGUGGGUGAAGAAGGCCUUCGGGUUGUAAAGCCCUUUUGUUGGGAAAGAAAAGCAGAAGGUUAAUACCCCGCUGUUCUGACGGUACCCAAAGAAUAAGCACCGGCUAACUUCGUG